rnacentral:rRNA from 1 species
ACGGAGGGUGCGAGCGUUAUUCGGAAUUACUGGGCGUAAAGCGCGUGCAGGCGGGAAGGCAAGUCUGAUGUGAAAGCCCCGGGCUUAACCCGGGAAGUGCAUUGGAAACUGCCUUUCUUGAGUACUGGAGAGGAAGGGGGAAUUCCCGGUGUAGAGGUGAAAUGCGUAGAGAUCGGGAGGAAUAUCAAUGGCGAAGGCAGCCUUCUGGACGGAUACUGACGCUGAGGCGCGAAAGCGUGGGGAGCAAACAG